CUGAGACACGGUCCAGACUCCUACGGGAGGCAGCAGUGGGGAAUAUUGGACAAUGGGCGAAAGCCUGAUCCAGCCAUGCCGCGUGUGUGAAGAAGGCCUUCGGGUUGUAAAGCACUUUAAGUGGGGAGGAAUGGCUCUUAGUUAAUAACCUUGAGCAGUGACGUUACCCACAGAAUAAGCACCGGCUAACUCUGUGCCAGCAGCCGCGGUAAUACAGAGGGUGCAAGCGUUAAUCGGAAUUACUGGGCGUAAAGCGCGCGUAGGCGGUUGUAUAAGUUGGAGGUGAAAUCCCCGGGCUCAACCUGGGAAUUGCCUUCAAAACUGUACGGCUAGAGUGUGGGAGAGGAAGGUAGAAUUCCAGGUGUAGCGGUGAAAUGCGUAGAUAUCUGGAGGAAUACCGAUGGCGAAGGCAGCCUUCUGGCCUAACACUGACGCUGAGGUGCGAAAGCAUGGGGAGCAAACAGGAUUAGAUACCCUGGUAGUCCAUGCCGUAAACGAUGUCUACUAGCCGUUGGGGGACUUGAUCCUUUAGUGGCGCAGCUAACGCAUUAAGUAGACCGCCUGGGGAGUACGGUCGCAAGACUAAAACUCAAAUGAAUUGACGGGGGCCCGCACAAGCGGUGGAGCAUGUGGUUUAAUUCGAUGCAACGCGAAGAACCUUACCUGGCCUUGACAUGUCCGGAACCCUGCAGAGACGCGGGGGUGCCUUCGGGAAUCGGAACACAGGUGCUGCAUGGCUGUCGUCAGCUCGUGUCGUGAGAUGUUGGGUUAAGUCCCGCAACGAGCGCAACCCUUGUCCUUAGUUGCCAGCACGUAAUGGUGGGAACUCUAGGGAGACUGCCGGUGACAAACCGGAGGAAGGCGGGGACGACGUCAAGUCAUCAUGGCCCUUACGGCCAGGGCUACACACGUGCUACAAUGGUCGGUACAAAGGGUUGCUAGCCCGCGAGGGUACGCUAAUCUCAAAAAGCCGAUCGUAGUCCGGAUUGGAGUCUGCAACUCGACUCCAUGAAGUCGGAAUCGCUAGUAAUCGCGGAUCAGAAUGCCGCGGUGAAUACGUUCCCGGGCCUUGUACACACCGCCCGUCACACCAUGGGAGUUUACUGCACCAGAAGUAGGUAGCUUAACCGCAAGGAGGGCGCUUACCACGGUGUGGUCAAUGACUGGGGUGAAGUCGUAACAAGGUAGCCGUAGGGGAACCUGCGGCUGGAUCACCUCCUUAA
rnacentral:rRNA from 2 species